CGGGAUGAGCUCAAAUUUAAAAUCGGGUGGCUUUGCUACUUGAGUUGUAAUCUAGAGAAGCAUUUUCUGUGUUGGACCGUGUACAAGUCUCUUGGAAUAGAGCGUCAUAGAGGGUGAGAAUCCCGUCCAUGACACGGACUACCAAUACUUUGUGAUAUGCUCUCAAA
rnacentral:rRNA from 1 species